rnacentral:snRNA from 1 species
AGCCAUGCAGUGAACACAAAGCGAACUAUUCUUUUGCCUUUUACUAAAGAAUACCGUGUGUGCAUUGCAAUGAAUGGCAUACUUAAAUUUCUAAAGAAUACCGUGUGUGCAUUG